rnacentral:lncRNA from 1 species
UUUUUCGCGUUCUUUAUAUCCACGCGUAGAGGAGAUUACGCUCUACAACUUUCAUUUAGACUCCAUCGGCUAGUUUUGACUUUAUUUUCAAUGAUAUAUUUGUAAUAGACCGGGACUCCUAAAGUCCGUUAAAAAUUCGUAGUUUCUUUAUUCGACGUCGGUUUUCGUUUGUCUUUUUAUCAAUUUGCUCCUAUUGUGGAGAUCUUCAACUCUCAUUUAGGUUGCGUUAGCUAAUUAACACUCGAUCUUCAAUUCGAGUUUUUAGCCCUCUACUACUGUUACGAAACUUUGAAAAUUCGUAACUUCUUCAUACGAGGUCCAAAUUGGGCGAUCUUUUUAUGUAUGUUUACAGUUUAACGGACUCUACAUCUUUUGUUUAGAUACUUAAGGCUAAAAUGCAUUUUAUUGAAAUUUCACUUUUUACGUUAAAUAGCGUUUUAACGGUGUGUCGUAAAUAUACGAGUGGUUAUAAGUUCUUCAAUAUAACCCGGUUUUGAACGUUCUUUAUGUUUUUGGAAACCUUGGCACGUUAUCUAAUAUUUGAUGCAUCCCAACUUAGAUAUUUGAACACUUUAUUUUCGAGGUUAAUUUAGUUGGUUCCAAAUAGUUUUUGUNAUCUACACUUUAUUUUCGAGGUUAAUUUAGUUGGUUCCAAAUAGUUUUUGUUAUAUUUGACAUUUGAGCGUUACACUGCUUUGGAAAAAUAUAGGGUUGUCACAGAUUUCGCAAUCAUAGUCCUUGACCAUAUCCAGCCACCUGCGCUGCCUCAUGUUCAGGUUCAGCUGAUCCAUGAUGUGUCUCAAACUCUUGUGAUCCGUGU